UCGCAGCCCGAGGCGUAGCCGUGGUGUGAUCUAGUUUUUUCCCUUCCCAUCCUCUAAGCCCUAAACCCUAGACGCCGCCAUCCGUUGCCGGGGCAGGUCGAAGCCCUCGACUCUCUUCCAUUGAAGUCGGUAAAAGGAUGCUGAUGAUGACAAAUCCUAAGGCUUGUUUCUCAAAACAUUCGCAGUGGCCACCUAAGAGCUUUCGCCUUGCCGGGCUUGAGAGCUUGUGCUGCUCAAAUUUCCUUCCUUGGAUGUCUGAGGCUAUUGGCAACUACAAAUUUUGUGUUAUUUGGCAUUGGUUUUUAACUUUCUGGUGGAAGUCCUAUCUGUUGAUGUGGAUAAUUUUCUUCGCUAUAUUUGAUUUGAGUGUUGGCCACGGCCAGGAUUGAAUUGGAAAUGUUGAUAUAUACUUGUGCUUGAUGGGCCACGCUUUGGAUAAUAUUUGCAUUUUCUAAUCAACUUUGUUUUCUUCUUAAGUCUUUUGUUAUUAUUCUCUUGUUUUGAGUUCUGUAAAUUUUUUUGCGUUCUUGUCCGUGAUUACUUGGUUCCAUUCUGUCAAUGUUAACGGUUGUUGUCUGAAAGCUUGAUUAGAUACUGACAACUUCGGGACUACACGUCUGCCCCUCUGGCUUUCUCAUUUUUAGCCUUUGGGAUGAAUCAGUCCCUUGUAUCUAUUCUCCCUUGCGCUUCACCAUGUCAGCCAUCUUUACUUCUGGUUUUUGCUGACAAAUUUUUAGGGGAUAUAUGAUUGAUUUAUGAUACUUUCUGCUGCAUGAGUUACAUUGUUUUUUUUUUUUUUUUUUAAAAAACAUUAUGUGGGAGUUUGUUUUGGCGUUUUUAUACAACAUGUUAUCCUCAAAGUUGAGCACUAGGGCUUUCUUGUUUUAAUCUGAGUGCCAAAUUUUCAUUCUCAUUGACAGUUUUUGUAGACAAUUCAUGCUUCUUUUCUUUGAACGAAUCUUGUUUCAAGUCGUGGCUGAGUAAAUGAGUGUUACCUACAUGAGCAUAAUGGCCUUAGUAGAUUAAAUCUAAUGGAAACUUGCUUCAGUUAGUGAUCAAGUAUAAAUUGCAUAGAUUAUUCUUUUGCCAGUUUUUUUUUCUGUAAUUGAAUAAUUUGCGAAUAUUUUUUUCUUUAUGUUUGGAACUGCAAUAUCACCUUUUCCCAUUAGGCAGGUUUGCUAUGGGUAUCAAAAUUUGUUAUCAGUUUAUUGACAAUAUCAUGAUGUUUGAUUGCUGCCGGUUGUAGGUUUGUGGAUCCGAGUUGUUAUUUGUUCGCACAGCCAAUCUUGCCUGACGAGGUUGAGCAUGUAUCAUUUCAGGUGUGUUGUCCUGAAUGGACAGCACCAGCUUUCAUCAUUGAUACCUUAUGAUAUCUAAGAAUCUUCGUGUGCAUCUGUCUACAGGUUACUAGAGAAUUGUUUUUUAAGAGUCUAGCAAGGUUUCGUUGAUCAUGUAAGAUGCUUUGGAUUUUGGUUUCAACUUUUCUGCUCGCGAUAUUAUUAGCAUAGAAUAGAUCACUUUCUGGUUGUUCUUAUGAGCAGAAUUGUUUCGUUGUUUUUGUGUUUUAGUGAUGGACGUUGUCGAUUCUGUGUAAUAUGAGAAUAAGCGUUUAGUUUUCUUUAUUAUUUAACAGCAAUAUUGCUUGGUGAACGUUUAACGCAAAUAAAGGGUGGGUGAUCAGGCGUUUCUCUUU